UACGUAGGGGGCGAGCGUUGUCCGGAUUUAUUGGGCGUAAAGAGCGUGUAGGCGGCCAGGUAGGUCCGUUGUGAAAACUCGAGGCUCAACCUCGAGACGCCGGUGGAAACCAUCAGGCUAGAGUCCGGAAGAGGAGAGUGGAAUUCCUGGUGUAGCGGUGAAAUGCGCAGAUAUCAGGAAGAACACCAACGGCGAAGGCAGCUCGCUGGGACGGAACUGACGCUGAGGCGACGAAGACGUGGGGAGCGAACAGG
rnacentral:rRNA from 1 species